rnacentral:rRNA from 1 species
UACGAAGGGGGCUAGCGUUGCUCGGAAUGACUGGGCGUAAAGGGCGCGUAGGCGGUUUGUACAGUCAGGUGUGAAAUUCCCGGGCUCAACCUGGGGGCUGCACUUGAUACGUAUGGACUUGAGUGAGGAAGAGGGUCGUGGAAUUCCCAGUGUAGAGGUGAAAUGCGUAGAUAUUGGGAGGAACACCAGUGGCGAAGGCGGCUCACUGGACCGGUACUGACGCUGAGGCGCGAAAGCGUGGGGAGCAAACGGG